UCGUCCUUUUCCGUUAGGAAUACCGUAUGUAACAUUAUUCUAUAGCCGAAAAUAACUGAACGCUGGCGAUUAUUCAUCCAAAAAUAGACUGUAGAUCGGUUAUUUCCGCGGAUAAGAGUGAAGAUUCUAUUUGAAAUUUCCGUGUGUAACCAUUUGUAACCGAUGGUUAACGAAUCAUUUCAGCACGCGUGAUACUUUAUGACCUCCUUUUACGACAACCAAAAACCUGUUGAUUACUGCUAUCGGAGGCAGAAAUUUCGAUUGUUCACAAUAUUGAAGAAAAUGACCGAUCUGACCAUCAUGAAGUUUCUACCAAUGGAUUAAAACACCAAGGAGAUUGAGAAACAAGCCAAGAACAAAAUUUAACGGCGAUGGCAGUUGUCCGAGUUCGAUUCUGAGAGGUUGAAAUGGUCUGAUAGUGAGACCUAGAAGGCUAGAUAGAUAUUUGAUGUGUUGCAUAUUGCACAAACGAUUAAUUACAAAUCCAAUGGAAAGAAAGGUAUCAGACCUCACUGCGAGGACGGCAAACGCCAGAAAAAAAACACUCGAGUUGUGGAAACUGAGAUUCUGCCGGGUUCUUCUAAUGGUACUAAGAACACUGAAUCUAUGCAAGACAGGCUGGAUAAACAACAUGCCAUAACCAGUGGCACAUACGUAAACACACGGCAUUGCCAAAAGUUAGAAGGAUGACCUAAAGAAAAAUCUUAUAGGACAGAUCUUAUCCCUGUAUACCAGUGAGGCAACAAACAAUAACAAUGAUAAGAAUUUGAAUGUAAUCGCAUUGUGUAUUGUGAAAUAGUGUGGAAAUAAUAAAAUUACAAAUUAAUUUUUGAAAAA
rnacentral:lncRNA from 1 species